rnacentral:rRNA from 1 species
UAACCAUAGCGCUGCAGUCGAAACUGAUUUACUUUGAGACUUCAAGAAGCAAGUGGAACUCUGUGUGUAGGGGUAAAAUCCGUAGAUACACAGAAGAACACCAAAAGCGAAAGCAGCUUGCUGGGGAAGUUCUGACGCUCAUGGACGAAAGCGUGGGGAGCAAACAGGAUUAGAUACCCUGGUAGUCCACGCCCUAAACUAUGGACACUCGGUGUUGGGGGGCUCGACCCCUUCAGUGCCUAAGCAAACGCGUUAAGUGUCCCGCCUGGGUACUACGAACGCAAGUUUAAAACCCAAAGGAAUAGACGGGGACCCGCACAAGCGGUGGAGCACCUGGUUCAAUUCGAUAGUGAGCGAGGAACCUUACCUAGGCUUGACAUCCCGAGAAUUCUCCGGAAACGGGGAAGUGCCUUUUGGAACUCGGUGACAGGUGCUGCAUGGUUGUCGUCAGCUCGUGCCUUGAGGUGUUCGGUUAAGUCCGUAAACGAGCGCAACCCUUAUUUUAUGUUGUACUUUUCAUAAAAGACUGCCGGCUCUAAGUCGGAGGAAGGUAGGGAUGACGUCAAAUCAGCACGGCCCUUAUGCCUAGGGCUACACAGGUGCUACAAUGGUCGGUAUAACGGGAAGCAAUGGAGCAAUCCGGAGCAAAUCCUUAAAGCCGGCCCAAGUUCGGAUUGAAGGCUGCAACUCGCCUUCAUGAAGCUGGAAU